CACGUAGGCACCAAGCGUUGUCCGGAUUUAUUGGGCGUAAAGAGCUCGUAGGCGGUUCGGUAAGUCGGGUGUGAAAACUUUGGGCUCAACCCAAAGCCUGCACCCGAUACUGCUGUGACUCGAGUCCGGUAGGGGAGUGGGGAAUUCCUGGUGUAGCGGUGGAAUGCGCAGAUAUCAGGAGGAACACCGAUGGCGAAGGCAGGUCUCUGGGCAUUAACUGACGCUGAGGAGCGAAAGCAUGGGGAGCGAACAGG
rnacentral:rRNA from 1 species